CUUUCUUUGCUGGCGACCGGCGCACGGGUGAGUAACACGUAUCCAACCUGCCCUUUACUCGGGGAUAGCCUUUCGAAAGAAAGAUUAAUACCCGAUAGCAUAAUGAUUCCGCAUGGUUUCAUUAUUAAAGGAUUCCGGUAAAGGAUGGGGAUGUGUUCCAUUAGGUUGUUGGUGGGGUAACGGCCCACCAAGCCUUCGAUGGAUAGGGGUUCUGAGAGGAAGGUCCCCCACAUUGGAACUGAGACACGGUCCAA
rnacentral:rRNA from 1 species